rfam:Oryza rufipogon genomic scaffold, chr04
AAUAAGUGCAGUUUUACACUAUUCACGUUCAACGUUUAACCGUUCGUCUUAUUUGAAAUUUUUUUAUGAUUAGUAUUUUUAUUGCUAUUAGAUGAUAAAACAUAAAUAGUACUUUAUGUGUGACUAAAUAUUUUCAAAUUUUUCACAAAUUUUUCAAAUAAGACGGACGGUCAAACGUUGGGCACGGAUAUUCCCGAAUGCACUUAUU